rnacentral:rRNA from 1 species
AGGACGAACGCUGGCGGCGUGCUUAACACAUGCAAGUCGAGCGGAAAGGCCCUUCGGGGUACUCGAGCGGCGAACGGGUGAGUAACACGUGAGUAAUCUGCCCCUAGCUCUGGGAUAGCUCCGGGAAACCGGGAUUAAUACCAGAUACGACCACUUUAGACAUCUGCUGUGGUGGAAAGAAUUUCGGCUAGGGAUGAGCUCGCGGCCUAUCAGCUUGUUGGUGAGGUAACGGCUCACCAAGGCGACGACGGGUA